UACGUAGGGGGCAAGCGUUGUCCGGAUUUACUGGGUGUAAAGGGCGCGCAGGCGGAAUAAUAAGUCAGAGGUGAAAUCCUACAGCUUAACUGUAGAACUGCCUUUGAUACUGUUAUUCUUGAGUUCGGGAGAGAGAGACGGAAUUCCAGGUGUAGUGGUGAAAUACGUAGAUAUCUGGAAGAACACCAGUUGCGAAGGCGGUCUCUUGGUCCGAUACUGACGCUGAGGCGCGAAAGCGUGGGGAGCAAACAGG
rnacentral:rRNA from 1 species